rnacentral:lncRNA from 1 species
CCGGGAGUGCAGCCUCUGCCCGGCCGCCACCCCGUCUGGGAAGUGAGGAGCGUCUCUGCCUGGCCACCCAUCGUCUGGGACGUGAGGAGCCCCUCUGCCUGGCUGCCCAGUCUGGAAAGUGAGGAGCGCUUCUUCCCGGCCGCCAUCCCAUCUAGGAAGUGAGGAGUGCCUCUUCCCGGCCACCAUCCCAUCUAGGAAGUGAGGAGCGUCUCUGCCCGCCGCCCAUUGUCUGAGAUGUGGGGAGCGCCUCUGCCCCGCCGCCCCGUCUGGGAUGUGAGGAGCGCCUCUGCCCGGCCGCGACCCCGUCUGGGAGGUGAGGAGACCCUCCGCCCGGCAACCGCCCCGUCUGAGAAGUGAGGAGCCCCUCCGCCCGGCAGCCGCCCCGUCUGAGAAGUGAAGAGCCCCUCCGCCCGGCAGCCACCCCGUUUGGGAGAUAUUGAAUUUUCCAAGACCACUCUGGCCCACCAUGCCCCUCAUCCUGUGCCCAUAAAAACCCAAGACCAUAGCAGGCACACACACAAGGGGCUGGAUGUCGAGAGGAGCAGAAGAGCAGAAGAACACACCAACAGACACCAGCAGACACUGACAGGCCAUCGACAACAGGACAACGUGGAAUUCUGUCAGGGGUGGUUCUUGAAGAGCCCAGCCGCUAGGUGGCGCAACUCCAGGGGAAGACCACCUUCCCACUCCAUCCUCCUUCUGGCUCCACAUCCAUCUCACUGAGAGCUACUUCCCCCACUCAAUAAAACCUUGCACCCAUCCUCCAAGCCCACAUGUGAUCCGAUUUUUCCAGUACACUAGGGCAAGAAGCCGGGAUACAGAAAGCCCUUGUGAUAAGACAGAGAGUCUAAUUGAGCUGCUUAACACAAGCCACCUGCAGAGAGCAAAACUGCAAGAGCACACUGUAACACAGGCCCACUGGGGCUUCGAGAGCUGUAAACACUUAACCCUAGAUGCUGCUGUGGGGUCGGAGCCCAAAAACACUCCCCAGUACCUGCAUCCUCUACAUGCUCCCCCUAGAGGUUUGAGCAGCCGAGGACUGAAGAAGCGAGCCACAUCCCUGUUGCAUGCCCUGUGAGGGGGAUAAGGGAACUCCUCCAGUUUCAGAGGCAGGCGGAUCGCUCGAGCCCAGGAAUUUGAGACUAGCCUGGGCAACAUGGUGACAUCCUGUCUGUAUCAAAAAUACAAAAAAAUUAGCCAGGCAUGGUGGUGUGUACUUGUGAUCCCAGCUACUCAGGAGGCUGAGGUGGGAGAAUCAUCAGAGCCUGGGGAGGUCGAGGCUGCAGUGAGCCAUGAUCUCACCACUGCACUCUAGCCUGUGCCACAGAGUGAGACCCCGUCUCAAAACAACAACAACAACAACAACAAAGAAUGGCAUGAACAUAUAUUCCAACAUCAUGACAUCUAAUUUUAUGAAAUUACAUAUCAGUUCACUCUAUCCAUAAACUCUGGAAAAUUUUCCUUCUCAAGCCAUCCCAUUACAUAGAUGAGACUAGCUUAUCAGUUCAAAUCACAACUUUGGUUCCAGUUUAGUCAGCCCCGGAUUGUGAGAAUAGAGGGAUUAAGGAUAGUGAGGAUAUUAAUCACUCCGUAUGGACCCUCAAUAGUCUAGCUCAUGAUUCUCAGGUAGAGCCACUAGGAAAAUAUCCAGUUCUGACAUCAAAUAUAUUAUCAAAAGUAACCAUUCAUAGAAAAAAAGUUAUAAAACAUUCAGUUCAUAAACAGUGUACAAAAUUGUAGCUGAUAACACCCAUUCUUCACUUUCCAUAAAUCAGACGUUUUCAUUUUAUUUUAUUUUAUUUUAUUUUUUGGGUGCGGGGACAGAGUCUUUCUCUGUCACCCAGGCUGGAGUGCAGUGGCACAAUCUCGGCUCACUGCAAACUCUGCCUUCUGGGUUCAAGUGAGUUUUGUGCCUCAGCCUCCCAAGUAGCUGGGACUAUAGGUGCACACAACCAGGCACAGCUAAUUUUUGUAUUUUUAGCAAAGGUUUGGUUUUGUCAUGUUGGCCAGGCUGGUCUUGAACUUCUGGCUUCAAAUGAUCCACCUGCCUCAGCCUCCUAAAGUGCUGGGAUUACAGGCCUAAGCCACCGCACCCCAACCUAAAUUUUUUUUCUUUAAUUCUCAUCCAAAAUCUUCAAUCUUCAUGUCCAAAAUAAAAUAUUAUUAUCUUUUUUAUUUAAAGGUCAGUUAUCCUGAUUUUGUCUUCUAGAAGGAAACUUAUGGAUACUUUAAAUUUAUUUUCAACAAAUAUUUAUUGUCUACUAUAUUUCAGAUGGAUACAUUUGUGAAUAAAACAAACCAAAAUAAAAAUUAGACUCAUGGAGCUCACAGUAUCUUGGUGGAGGCAGAUAGUGAACAAAAUUAAUAAGUAAAAUACGUAUUACAUUACAUGAUGACAAGUGCUAAGGACAAAAAUAAAGCAUAGAAGGGCAUGAAGGUGCAAUUUUUUUUUUUUUUUUGAGACGGAGUUUCACUCUUGUUGCCCAGGCUGGAAUGCAGUGACGCCAUCUCGGCUCACUGCAACCUCUACCUCCCAGGUUCAAGCAAUUCUCCUGCCUCAGCCUCUGAAUUAGCUGGGAUUACAGGUGCAUGCCACCACACCCAGCUAAUUUUGUAUUUUUAGUAUAGACGGGGUUUCCCUACGUUGGCCAGGCUGGUCUUGAACUCCUGACCUUAGAUGACCCGCCCACCUGGGCCUCCCAAAGUUCUGGGAUUACAGGCAUGAGCCACCAUGCUCGGCCAUAAAGGUGCAAUUUUACAUAGAGUAGGAAGGGAAGGCUUCAUGAAGAUAUUUGAGUGCAGGGUGAAUGAGGUAAGGGAGCAAGCCAUGUGAAGAUGAAGGGGAGGAGCUGCUCCAGAGGGAACAGCAACUGCAAAGGCUCAGAGGUGGCAGCCUUCCUAGAUGCUUGAGGACUAUCAAGGAAGCCAGUAUGGUUAUUGAGGAGACACUAAAGGGAAGGUAGAAGAUGAGACUCAAGAGGUAAUGAGUGUCAGCAAUCACAGAGCACAUGGAGAAUUUCGGAACAUUUUAAGGGAAUCUCAGAACCAGAAGAUGCAUUCGAGAUCAUCUAGCUCACUGGGUUUUGACAUUUGUUUACUUUGAUCCAAAAUAAAUACAUUUUAUUUCUUGACGUGGCACACACAUGUGUACAUACAUACACACACGUUCACACAUACACACAUAGUAAUGAAACAAAAAUUUUAUGAAACAGGCCAGGUGCAGUGGCUUAUGCUUGUAAUCCCAGCACUUUGAGAGGCUGAGUCAGGAGAAUUGCUUGAAGCCAGGAGUUGAGACAAGACUGCAUACAAAGGGAGACCCUGUCUCUACAAAAAAUAAUAAUAAGCCAGGCUCAGCAGCAUGCAUCUAUAGUCCCAGCUACUUGGGAGGUUGAGGUGGGAAGAGCACUUGAACCCAGGAGUUCAAGGCUGCAGUGAGCUGUGAUCACGCCACUGCACUCCUGCCUGGGCAACAGACAAAGGCUCUGUCUCAAACAAACAAACAAAAUCUAUGAAACAUAUUUAUCAUGAUGUAUGAUACACCCUGACAUUUUGUUUUGAAUUCUGGUGGUUACUUACCAAAUUGACUUUACAAUUCCCCUCUGUUAUUUUUGGUUUUUUGUUUGAUUUUGUGGGCUUUCUUUCUUUCUUUUUGCAGAAUUUUGCUCUUGUUGCCCAGGCUGGAGUGCAAUGGCGCGAUCUUGGCUCACCACAACCUCUGCCUCCCGGGUUCAAGCGAUUCUCCUGCCUCAGCCUCCCAAGUAGCUGGGAUUACAGGCGCACACCACCACGGCUGGCUAAUUUUGUAUUUUGGGGGCUUCCUUUAGCUUUCAGAAAGCAUAGCAGAAAUAAACAACCCUCAUUUUGAAAAACACUCAACUCUUUCAGUUGUAGCUCAAUCUUUUUAGUUUCCAGAUGAGGAAACAGAGACCCAGAGAGAGCAAGUGAUUUGUCAAAAUUUUCCCAAAGGUAGUAGCAAUGCUGGGACAAGAACCCAGGUCUCCCGACUUCUGGUCCAGGGCUUUGUACAGCAAAAAGAAGCCAGAUCCUCCUCUCCAGCACUUCUCAUGCUUCAUUUUAGUUUUUGAGUUUUUAUUUGUUUGUUUGGUUUUGUUUUUGUCUUUUGUUUUUUGUUUUUUUUUUGUUUGUUUUUUUUUUGAGACAGAGUCUCACUCUGUCUCUCAGGCUGGAGCAUAGUGUCGCGAUCUCGGCUCACUGCAACCUCCGCCUCCUGGCUUCAAGCAAUUCUCCUGCCUCAGCCUCUGGAGUAGCUGGGACUACAGGUACGUGCCACGACACCCGGCUAAUUUUUUUGGAUUUUUAGUAGAGACGGGAUUUCACCGUGUUAGCCAGGGUGGUCUCGAUCUCCUGACCUCGUGAUCUGCCCACCUUGGCCUCCCAAAGUGCUGGGAUUAUAGGCGUGAGCCACCUGCCCGGCCUGGGGUUUUCGUUUGUUUGUUUUUAUUUUUUUGUCUAUUUUGUUUUUGUUUUUGUCUUUGAAACAGGAUCUUGUCCUGUCACUCAGGUUGGAGUGCAGUUGUACAAUCAUGGCUCACUACAAUCUCAGUCUCCCAGGCUCAAGUGAUCAUCUGCCUCAGCCUCCAGAGUAGUAGGAACUAUGGGCUUGCACUACCAUGCCUGGCUAAUUUUUUUUUAAGGUUUUUUUUUUUUUUUUGAGACAGAGUCUUGCUCUGCCACUCAGGCUGGAGUGCAGUGGAAUAAUCUUGGCUCACUGCAACCUCUGCCUCCUGGGUUCAAGCAAUUCUCAUGCCUCAGCCUCCCAAGUGGCUGGGAUUGCAGGUGCCUGCCACCACACCCAGCUAAUUUUUGUAUUUUGGGUAGAGACAGGGUUUCACCCUGUUGACCAGGCUGGUCUUGAACUCCUGAUCUCAAGUGAUCCACCCACCUUGGCCUCCCAAAGUGCUGAGAUUAUAGGCGUGAGCCACUGCGCCCAGCCUUUUUUAGGUUUUUAUGGAGACGAGGUCUCACUUUGUUGCCCAGGCUGGUCUCAAACUCCUGUGCUCAAGCAAUCCUCCUGCCUUGGCCCACCAGAGUGUUGGGAUUACAAGCAUGAGCCACCACACCCAGCCAUUUUCACUUCUUAAAAAAACAUAUUAAAGCAGAAUUUCCUGAGUAAUAGCUUAACUAGCUUUCUUAAAUGUGCUCUACUUGCCUUAUUUUUUAAGCUUAAACUUUUAUAAACACAAAUAUAACAUAAUAUUUUUAAUUAAAAUAUUAAAUUAUUUAUACCCAGCAUGCAUAAUACAAAUAUACUUAAAACUGAAUUCUUCCAUGGAUUAUUCAAAGGCACAUUUUCAUAAUCAUAACAUUAAUCAAAUGAGUCAUCAUAAAUCUCAUGAGGUUGUGUGCAGACGGCACAUAUAAAAGUUCAAGGUCAUACACAACUAUGGUUAACAUACUUCAUUUCAACUCAAUGGGCAUUUAAAUAACAUCUACUGGCCAGGCGUGGUGGCUCAUGCCUAUAAUCCCAACACUUUGGGAAGCCAAGGUGCGAGGAUCACUUGAGGCCAGGCAUUUGAGACCAGCCUGGGCAACAUAGGAGACCCUAUCCCUACAAAAAAUUUUUUUUAAUUAGCUAGGCAUGGUGGUGCGCACAUAUGGUCCCAGCUACUCAGGAGGCUGAGAUGUAAGGAUUGCUUGAACCCAAGAAGUUGAGGUUGGACUGAGCCAUGAUUGUGCCACUGCGCUCCAGCCUGGGAGACAAAGUGAGAUCCUGUCUCAAAAAAAUAAAAAAUUUUAAAAAAGGAACAUCUACUAUGUGCUAAUUGUGCAUGUUGGGAAAAUAACUAUCAAUUAAUAAGUCCUUCUGGACUUCAGGAACUUACAAUCUAGUAAGAGAGAUAGUCAAGCCAAUAGCCAUAAUUCAAUAUGAGAAGAUAUAUGAGAUAUAUAUGAGAAGAUGUAUAUAUGAUAUCUCAGAUAUCAGAGAAGUACAGAGUACUCGUUCCUUAACUACUAUAGGAACACAGAUGAGGGUUAAGUUAAUUUUCCUUAGGGUUAGAGAUGGUUCAGAAAGACUAAAAAGAGGAGAAAAUAUUUGUUCUGGGCCUUAAAAGAUGAGUAGAAAUUUGCUGACCAGGUGAAUAGUGAAACAGGUAUAAGGAGAGGAGAGAAUAGUAUGAAUAAAAAGAAAAAGUAUAGCAUGAAAAGCAUGUCACAUAGAAGAAUCAUCUGACUAGACUGUGGAUGCCCUCUUAUGUGGAUGCCCUCUUAUGGGUCAGACAUGACAUGACUAGGUAUUUAGACUUUAUUCUAGAGCAAAUGAGGAAUCAUCAAAGAUCUUUAAUAAAGUAAUUCUGGAAGCAAAGUAGAAACUAAACAUGAGGCUGUUAUGGGUUGAAUUGAGUCCCCUAAAAAAGAUAUGUUGAAGUCCUAGGCCCCAGUACCUCAGAAUGUGACCUUAUUUGGGGCCGGGCACAGUGGCUCACGCCUGUAAUCCCAGCACUUUUGGAGGCCGAGGCGGGCAGAUCACUUGAGGUCAGAAGUUUGAUAUCAGCCUGGCCAACAUGGCAAAACCCCAUCUCUACAAAAAUACAAAAAUUAGCUGGGGGUGGUGGUGCCUGCCUGUAAUUCCAGCUACUGGGGAGGCUGAGACAGGAGAAUCACUUGGACCUGGGAGGCAGAGGUUGCAGUGAGCUGAGAUCAUGCCACUGCAUUCCAACCUGGGGUGCCUGGGUGACAGAGUGAGACCCUGUCUCAAAAAAAAAAAAAAAAAAAAAAGAGAAUGUGACCUUAUUUGGAAACAGUCUUCACAGAUGAAGUCAAGUAGUUAAGAUAAGGUUAUUAGGGUGGGCCAUAAUCCAAUAUAAUUGAUGUCCUUAUAAAAAGGGGACAUUUGGACACAGACACAGACAUGCUCAGAGGGAAGACUGCAUGAAGAGACUAGGAAAAUGCCAUUUGGAGGUAGAGGAUUGAGUGAUACAUCUACAAGCCAAGUGUUGCCAAGAUUGCCAGCAAACCACCAGAAGCCAGGCAAGGGGCAUGGAACAGAUAUCCUCCUUCACAGCCCUCACAAAGAACCAACCCCACUGACACCUGGAUUUUGGACAUCUAGCCUCCCAAACUGUGAGACAAUAAAUGUCUGCUAUUUUAAGCUGCUCUGUUUGUGGCUUUGUUAUAUACUUUGUUAUGGGAGCCCUAGGAACUAACAUAGAGGCUACUAAACAGUGCAGUCUAAAGCGAUGAGAGAUUGAACAAAAACACUGACAGUGGGGAGUUGAGAAAAAGUCACAAAUAUGAAAAAUAUCACUGAGGUAAAAGCAGCAAUGUUUAGUGAUUGGCUGAAUACGGCAAAGGAGAAAAAGGAGUCCAAGAUGGAUGAAGCUCUUAUUCUACCUUAAUCCAUCAAUGUGGUGUCAAAACUAUCUUGGUGUCCUCAUUAGAUUGUUCUUGAGGCCAGGGACCUUAUAAAAAUUCCCAUGCCUUUUCCCCUGGCUAAAUUUAAAACUUUCUUUGGACUGGAGUCCUCAGUUUUCAUUCUAUUGGCUUAUAACUUCCUUCUCCUUCCCCUUCCCCUCGUCCUCCUCCUCCUCUUCCUCCUCCUCCUCCUCCUCCUCCU